UACAAAAUAUCAGGAAAAACAGGCUUUGCCCCCCCAAUAAUUUGACCACAGCCACCACGAAUACGAACCGAACCAUGCAAGAGCCAUGCUGAUCGGUAUAUUCGUUCUUGAGUUUUGUUGCCUCAAAGGAACUUCAAACUCAUUUUUAUAUAUGUAGAUGUAUACUCUCCUAUGUGGUAAUGAUAAUUUAGCAAGAAAGUAUCACGUUAUAUGAAUUGCUUAGUAAACUACAAAUGAUUGAAAAUUGAUUCAAUCUCACCCCUUAGAGGGGGUGAGAAUGGGUCAAAGUAUUCGAAAUCACCUAUCUAAGAAUAUAAAUUAAUUUUAUUGAUCACAUGUAGUAAACCUACUUAAAACACAAUGUUAUGACGAUUAAAAGCUUAGGAAAUUUUAAAAGAUCAUUAAUUCACCUAAAAAGGGCUAAUACAACCGAAAAAAAUGGUUGAAAUUUGAUAAAAUAACGUUUGUAUACUGUAUCAUCAUUUUUAGCCAUCAUAAUCAUCCUCAUAAAGAGUUUCAACCUUCAUGAGAGGAGAGGAGAUUACAAUGAGGGAGGGGCGAAGAAAGAAUGAAAGAUUGAUUGUAAAAAAAAACAGGCUAGCUUUUGUAUACUGCAUAAGAAAUGUUUAACCAAACCCUCCGUUAUAAACUCUUAUGUACAUGAUCAUUGGCCUCUAUAUUGCUAAAGCAAAUCACUCCAUCUCAAGAUAGAGGGUCGUUCAAAUGUUAUGUUAAGUCUAUUUUGUGAGCUUACGAUAUUGUAGUACACUAAAGAUUAGCUGAUGAUAAGAGGAGCUGUCCACAUGCAUGGGUGUAUUGUUAUAAAUGAUUUUAGGCACUAAACGUAUUAACACACUCGUUUGACGCUUCUCGACAUAUUUUUGAAAGAAAGCGUGCUUUAGUGAAAAUACGGUAAACAUGGCACCACUCUAACGUCAAAUGAGGACUGGAUAACAAGUUGAAUUUUUAGUUAAGGUUAUGUGCACUCGAUAACUUGCUUGACCCAAUCUCACCCCUAUUCUUAAUAUUUAGACAUGGGGUCGAAAAUAUUAAGUUAUUAAAUAAAAAGAGCAAUGACAGCCCGCUUUUUUCAUUACAUCAACCAGGUACCUACAGCUAACCACUUAGGGCCUGUCCAUAAACUACGUAGACUCUUAGGGGGGGACGGGGGGGUCUGGCCAAAGUCUACGCUCCAUACAAAUUUCGAAAAUUUUGUAUGAACAAAAGUCUACGAGGGGGGAGGGGGGGGGUCUGAGAUGGCCCAAAAAAAGUCUACGUAGUUUAUGGACAGCGCUUUAUAAGAAAAUUUAUAAUUAGGUACACGGUAAAAAAAUCUGCACUCUGAUAUGAACUGAUUGGCACUUGAAUUCGCACUACUGUCUAAUCAGUUUGUUAUUAAUUAAAUAACAUUUGAAAAACAACAUUCAAUGUCUCUUCAAUUUAAAUGGAAAUUCACUUCGAUUUGUGGUUGACAAUGUUUUGAUUUCAAAACUAGAAUUAAAAAAAAAAUGUUCACCACACCCGUAUUCGAUACCAGGACCUUGAGAUUCACGAUCAUCUGUUUUCCCACUACACUACUUCAAAUCUGUUAGAGAGGUGCGUAUCGAAGCGAAACACUUUCUACCUCCUGUCAUCUAUAUUUACUUUCAUGUCCAAAACAGUCAUUACCAAACCAAUAGCUUUUCACUUUGGAUCGUACUGCUUUAUACAGUAGUGCAAAUCGAAGUGAUUUUCAGUUAAUUUCUCCGGUGGGUUUGUUUUGGUUCUGAAAUCAACACUGACAGCAUUGUGAUUUCAAAGGAAAAUCAUUGCUGAUCAUGUUGAUUGGGAUGUUGAAUAGUUAAUGGAUUUUUCCCUUACAUCGAGCGUGCAGAAUUUUUACCGUGUACUUGUGUUAAACAUUACGAAGGAGAAAUUUUUUCAGAGUGAUUUACUAGUAGCUUCAUCAUAUAAGUUUAGCCACAAAUUUAACAAAAAACGAUUAUUGUAAAACAUCUUAUUCUGCAUCAUGACGCGUAAAAACAUCUUCCCUUUGAAAUAAUAUAAAGUUUUCAAUAUAAAUUAGCGAUAGUUAUUGAUCUAUUUCAAAUUUUAUGUUUCUCCGUUUUGACCCAAUCUCACCCCCAGACCCAUUGUCACCCCCAUCGACGGAACUAAAACAUUAAUUUUUAAAACUAACUCAAAAACAUAUUGAUUUCUACAAUACCCAUUGAAGAGCCCCCCGUUCCGCCGUCGAGAACAUAAACAAAACUCUCAAGUUCCAGCUGCAGCACCAAACAAGUUUUCCUCUUGCAAAAAAGUUUCACCAAAAGUUUCCACGAAAUUCCAUUGAUUUCGGGAGCGUAUGUUAUCUACAUGAUGUUGGCAUUGAAAGUGCCACGCAGGAAGUGGGUUUUACUAGAGAAAGAAGGGAUUUUGUAAAUUUAAUUGGAAAACAAAAAUUUCUGUAGGGCCGACCUGCCACAAAAAACAAAAUUUUUUACAUUUGUUUCUAAUAUAACCUGUCAGAAGAUGCAUGUUUGUUUCAAAAAUGGAUUGAAUUUGCUUCAAAUGUGACGUUCGAUUUGCUCCAAACGGUUUUAUUUUUGUUGCCAGAACAAAUUGACAAUUUAUUUGAGUUUACCUGAAAUAUUUUUGAUUUUACAAUGCUUUUUCCUGAGUGUUAUAACAGCCUGCAAUUUCAAAAACGUCUUUGGAACGUCUUCCAUGUAAUUACAAUAGUGGUCGAAACAACAACUGAUAUGCUCUCAAUAAGGAAACAAAAUUUCGAACAAUAAGAGAAUUAAUCUUCGAUAUGACGUCAUUUAUUAAUUAAUUUUGACUAUACCUGAAUGUAAUCAAUACACUUUGAGCCAUGGUCUUGUUUUGACAGUUAUGCCGGUUAUGCACGAUGGAAACAAAAUGGGCAGAAACAAAAUAAAUUGAGUCGAUUUUUCACGCCAAAAAUUUUUCCCUUUUCGUGUAGUCAAUUUGUUCUGAGAUGCCCUUCUCUUCUCUGAUUGUGGUGAACACUCGCAGAUGUGAUGCAGGUAUUUAUCAAAAGAUGCCUGCGGUACAUAAAUCUUGGAUGGAAGCCUCACAACUGGGUCUAUAAUGCUGAACUCUGUUAUACACCAUGAAAAGCCUAAAAUAACAGAAAUGAAUAAAAUGUAUUUAUAUGGUAUUUUCGUAUUCACCGUUCUGACCAAAGUGGUGCUUUUACAUCAAUAUUGUAUGACGAUAAAGUGAAUGAAUGAAAAUAUUUGGUAGCGGUUGCGCACAAAAAUUUUUUUGGUAAAAGCUUUUCUUUUCAGGAAUUUAGAGUUUAGAUACCUCUCGGCAUACAAAAUUAAAUGAAUUUACUCCAGCUGUGAACACGCGCCAUGCGGGUCAUUCGGAGGAAAGCGAUAUAAUCGAAAUCGGUAAACAGGAGGUGGUACACUGAAGUUCAACAGGAUAUCGCAUCUAUGGUAGGACCCUUGGUAGGCCCAGAUUCUCAUGAAUAAGUAGUCUCAAUAAAAAAAUAAGAUCAUUGAUUUUCUUGGCUAAAGAGUAUCUUCAUACCUCACUCUAGCUAUACGAAUGCGAAAUUAAUCAAUACUAAACAAAGCCAUACAUUAAUAAGAUAAACUGGGGAAAACCACUGUAAUGGACAUUGUUUGGUAUUAACACUUCGCAUAAAGUUUACUGAUAAGAAAAAAACAAAAAUAAACAUCAUGCGAACAAUUUGGUUAGUUAUACCGCUUUGCUUGUCUCCUUCUGUUGUGGCGAAAGUGAUAAGCAAAUACGUCUACCCUGACGAUUGAAUCCGCAAUUCCGCAGUUAAUAUAAGCAGUACAACUGUUUCAAGAUUUGCGAACUAAAUUGAAACAGAACAGCCAGAAGCCAAAUCUCAUAUUAUUCAUGAAACGAAUAUUAAUCAUCACGCAAUUGCUAUUUUUGGAACCAUCGUUUAGAUAUGCUAUCAUAGGUAUUACGUCUUUUCGAAUACCAAUGUGAAUAUCUGUCAAUUGCUAAAAUUUUAAAAAUGCCAUUCAUUCUGCUGCAAGUAAACAAGUAACGAGUAAAGUUUUCCUCCAGGAUAUUUUGAUUGAACUUGAGAUGUAUGCUUUUUAGAAUUUGAGUGGAAUUUACGAAUGACAUCACUGCUGUCUAUUCCCUAACACAUUUGCCCUUUAUAAGCUCUUCAUGUAUUUCUAGGAUGGUGCUGAAAUCACUGUUUAUUUAUAGAGGUACAUUAGCAUUAAAGUGUCUCGAGUAUACCAAAGUGGCGAAUCCUGGUCGUUUUGACAGGUCUCCUGCUCGAUUGGAACUAUGGGGAUGACAGCAAAUCGGCUGUUCCAAUUUUGACGUUUCUCCUCUUUGUUAUUCCAGACUCGUUAAUUAGCACAUACUCUAUGUACACCGUACACCCCCGGUGGUUUGACCGCUUUUAAUCGGAACUCUUUUAAGUUUGACACCCGCUAAUAUGCACACUAAGGUGGCCCACACUUAUAUGAAAAACAAAAAUCUCGAAAAAUACCAAGUCUUACCUCCUAAAUCAGUUGUUUUGGACUCCCAGAAGCUACGUUCAAAAUUUGAGCAAAAUCGGUUGAGCCUAAGGGGGCGCUCAAAACGCUUUAAGUUUGUAUGGGAAAACUUGGCCAAAUGUAUGCAGAAAUUUUAAGUUUUCGAAUUUUGCCGCUAGGUGGCGCUGUAAGCAUUCAAUAAUCAAACCCUUUGGUAUUAUUGUAGGUGACUAUAUGCCAAACAAGUUUGUCGAAGACCGCAAAGUGAUCCAACGUCUGUGAAAAAAGUUAUACCCUAGGAAAAGUGAGGAUAAACUUUAUUUUUAUUUUUCCAAUACAUGUAAAGGAAUAAUAUCAAUAAUAAAAUCUCAAUACUUUGCCUCACUUUGGCUAGGGUAUAACUUUUUUCACAGCCGUCGGAUCACUUCGCGGUCUUCGACAAAGUUCUCUGGCAUAUAGUCACCUACAAUAAUACCAAAGGGUUUGAUUACUAAACGCUUACAGCGCCACCUAGCGGCAAAAUUCGAAAACUUAAAAUUUCUGCAUAUAUUUGGCCAAGUUUUCCCAUACAAACUUCAAGCGAUUUGAGCGCCCCCUUAGGCUCAACCGAUUUUGCUCAAAUUUUGAACGUAGCUUCUGGGAGUCCAAAACAACUAAUUUAGGAGGUAAGACUUGGUAUUUUUCGAAAUUUUUGUUUUUCAUAUAAGUGUGGGCCACCCUAAUGCACACAGUUCAAGCUAAAAGUGGUUCAAACGUAUUCCAAAACAUGAAACAUAGUGUAA